UUGACUUGGCAGAUUUAAUGCAACUGACUUAGGAUCAGUUUAUAGCACGUAGUGCUAGUCGGA
rnacentral:tRNA from 1 species